rnacentral:lncRNA from 1 species
AUAAUAUUAAAUACUAAAUGACAAUGUUAACAAAAAUAACAUGGUAAUUUUCUUAAAUAUAGUAUUAUUAAUGAACGAAAAAUAAAGUAGCUAGCAAUAUGUAUAUGAACCAAGUCACACGUACAACCAAACAACUUAACAAACCUUGAGCUUUACAUCGAUGUUUGUGUCUGGACUAACACAUGAUUUAUUGAUACAUAAUCAUUCCAUAUUUUCCCAGUGGAACUGAUGAAGAAAUAUAGGAGGCGUUUGGUUCCACAUUUGUAUCGUUUUCGAUUCUCAAUAUCGGGAAGCGAUGCUUCCAAUAUUUCCUCCAGAAUAUGUUUUUUGUUUGGCUCAGCCACGAGUGAAUACUUAGUGGACAUGAUUCUGUAUCGAGCCGUGAUCGGACGUUUUCGCGGAAGUGAAGUGCUGUAUCUGAUAGCAUCGUAACAUAAAACAGAAGGGCUGAACCAAACGACUUGUACUGUCUUCCGAAAGCGCUGAAUCGGAAAAGGGACUUUUCCACCCAACCAAACAUGUUGAUAGUGAACAGCGUACGAUACGAUCAGUUUGCAAUUGAUUAUUGGCUUUGUCCUCUGGCAUGCCCAAACCUAGACAGAAAAAUCAGGGCAACAUACAUCAGUUCUCUUUCAGAAAAUGGAAGGCCUAAUGACUGAAUAUAUGCAAGUAAAAUACCGUAUCAAAUGUUUUUUCUACCCUACUCAUAUUAGGUAUAUUCAGUAGUGUACAUUAAAACUUGAUUAUAUCGCAAUGUUUCAUAUUGCCACUGUAACUACUGAGACUAUUCUGUCCAAAAUCAACCCUUGGUCACCAUGAGCUUCAUAGUAUUUCAAUCUUAUUAGAUAAGAGUAACACAUGGGGCGCUAUACGAAAUACUUCUAGAUCUGAUAGGAGUAUGUGAGUGAUUACCUUAUCUUAUGUCGGAGGGACUUGUACCAGAUCCCAGAAGAGCACUCCACAAAAGUUGAUGCCAUCGGCUGCAUGAAAUUGAUGUCCGCUGUUGCAUAAGUUCUUAACAUGCACACCAUGGAGAGACGACGGAGAGGAAGAGAUGGCUAGUCAACCUUCCACCUUCCUAAUAUCAAUCGGAGGUGGGGCCUGCCUGAAAGUUCAUCAUGGUUAGAUCUGACGAUAAAAAUAUUGAACCCAGCCUCUGCCCUCUUAGGAUUGACGUGGGUGGCACGAAACAUAUAUACAACAUUGUGACUUUGAUUAAAACAAUAACAACUUGCUGAUAAGAAAUGGUGCAUUUAGUAAUUUAUUAAAUCAAAAAUUACAACUAAACCACAAAGGACUCAGAGGCGAAGUAGCUAAUUCAACUCUUACAAUUGACUCGACCCAUUCCAAAUGCAUUGGAAUUGAAUAUUAUGAUAAAAGAAGUGUUUUAAAUAAAACUGCAUCUGAAUCUCAAAAUCGUGGUAUGAGCAUAAAACAUACCUUCGAUAGUUCUUUUCCUGUGCUCUGUCACAUGAACUCGAAGUGUUUAAUAGCGCCAUCCAAUGUAGCAUUAUACUGUGCACUGUGCAGGACAUUGAACUGAACUGUGAAAAGUAAAGGAAUGCUCAAUGAUGCCACUGUACAUAGCAGAUGUUGUCAAAUAAUAGUGAAAAUGGACAUAUUUAUCAAGAAGCAAAAGCACGUCAUGCAAUAAGUAAAAAUAUAUAGUACAGGGAUUCGGGCAAUUAGUUAAUAUGCUAGUUUAAUAAAAUAGAUACAUAUAAUCAUUUAUGGGAUGUUGUCCUCGCUUUAGUGUGAAAUAUUGAGACAUCAUUUUUUGACUGUUGCGUCAUGCCUCCUUCAUAUAAACCCAUCUCUUCUUUAUCUUCUUACUUUAAGAAAAUACCAGAGAUAAGAUGAAAGUGAUAAUUCUGUUUAUCUCUCUAGAGGCAAAUUUUCCAACGGAAGACAUAAUGCUAUGUUUUUGUUACCUAAACCACGUUGCAUAUACUUUCUGAUACUAUCCUAAGAAUUAUAAGCCAUGGUGUCAAUGUGUAUUCUUCUUCUAAACCAAAUUGCAUCAUCUACCCUGUGUGCAGCUUACACAUCAAAGCAUGCAUUAAUUGUUGUAUCUAAAAAUAAUGCUGCUAAAACCACAUCUCUCGUAAAUGAUCCCUUCCUCAACUCCACCCUGAAGUAUGGAUGCUGAUGGAUACAGAGUUGCAAACCUCUGUAUCUGAACUUUAGCAUAUAAUUUGCACCAUAACUUUUUUUCCCAAAAUGCUAAAACUACAUCUCUGGUAAAUGCUUCCUUCCUCAACUCCACCCUGAAGUAUGUAUGCUGAUGGAUACAGAGUUGCAGACCUCUGUAUCUAAACUUUAGCAUAUCAUUUGCACCAUAACUUUUUACCCAAAAUACUCGCCACCAUGGACCUCAAAAUCCCUAACCCGUCGGUGCUGACCAUCUCCAUGUGGCCCCUUAAGCUUUGUCUGGGAGCUUCAGAAACAAAGACCACAUGCAUAGAGAGCACUCUCAAUAUGUAAGCAAAAAAGGUUCUGUUGUAAAUACUAUGAUUUUGUCUUCACGUCCUUCAAAUAUAUCAACUUAUAUAACUAUUCGCGUACAGUAACAGUGGGACUGAUUAAAAACAUUAUUUCCCAGUGUCCUCUAUUUACAAUUAAUUGCAUGGAGUAACAGUCAGAAUUUUUAUUAACUUCAAAUUCCUUUGUCAUGUGAACAUAAUGAACUACAGAGUAUUAGUCGGAUUGCAGAAAAACUAAUAGAUAAGAUGCUGUUUUGCAGCCAGUGUUAGCUAUUUAAAAAAAUGUAAUCGGAUACAUAAUGCAUACCUAGAUCUGCACCAAAAGGGGUCCAAGACUCCUAGUCUCCUUAUCGAUCAUGGCAGCUAGAAACUCUUUGGACAUCACGUAAAAAGACCAGAUCGUCCACUCAGGGAAAGCCCCAACACCACUGGGACGACCAGUUUGCUAGACCUGGCUACAGUGACAGCAUGGAAACGGUAGGAUUCUUUGUAGGAGGAUGUAAUCUCAGACAUAAAUAGUCUAGCUGCUCAUGAAAAAGACAGCGGACGCGUCACGAUAGCGACCGGAGGAGCAAAGGAAGGAGACAUAGGCGGCAAAGAGAAGAGGAGGAUGCAGGGAAGACUCUUGUCGACGGUUUGGACUCAAUGCGGCAGGAGAGAUUCUUGGGUUAGGACUCUAUAGACGCUAGAGACGUGGAGCUAAUAGGAAAGAUAAAAAAGGUUAAGGUGGAGAUUGAUGGCCGGUCAGAUUAGCAACCCACAACAGAUUGGCCUUUUUUUUUUCUUGAAACACACAACAGAUUGGACUAAUUUUAGGUUGUCUCUCUGUAAUUCAAUGUGAGAUAAUUAGUAACUAUAAGGUUUAUAUCUGAACCCUAACAUUGCUUAGGCUCGACUUUCAGAUUUGUAAAAAUCAAACGCUAUGUCAUAUCAAGCAGCUUUGAAGCCGCACUAAUGAUCACAUCCUCAAGUGGCCCUCAAAAAUCAUGAGUGGACAUCUUCGCUCAUAGUCAAAGGUGCAGUAGUAUUUCCUCAGUGAAUUAACAUGAUUUUGCUAAAAGAUGCUAAUCAUCCAUAUGACCAUGCCUUUGCAGCAUAAACAGAUAAAGCAUCAUUCAAUAAUAAAUACUUGGACGGGGAAUGAGUUACUCCUUGUGGGAAUUAGCAGUUUAGCAGAGACAUUUUCUUGGCAAACAAAUUAAGCUCACGUUCUGCAUAUUAAAUUGUAGUACACUGGGCAACAGAAAGCAAAUUGUGUAUUAUUCAUCACUGGAAUAUUUUUUUAAGCUAACUAAACCACCAACUGUAACAAAAUUAUAUUGUCCUCUUUCAAAUUCAAUCCAAUCGACAACUCUCGACUUUUAGUCCUAACAGAAGCAUCUCGUAACAAACUAACUAAAGAAUCAUGAUUCAAAAAAACAAAACUAUGUAAAUGACCAAUGCAAAGCUAAAGGAUAGUAGUAUUGACCAAUUUCCUUGGCAAACCCAAGUUCGUUUGUGAAGGAGAGGAUAUUCUGCCCACUAUCAUGGCAAUCUAAUGGCACUCCACCUAGAAAAUUCACGAAUCCAUUCCACCCAAGUUCCAUGAGAGAACUUCUGAGAAGGAAAAAAUUACCUUGCCGGGUAGCCGACUUAGAACACCCGAAUUUGCUACCAGAGCACAAUUUUCUGCGGGUACUUCUGCGCCAUGGUGGUCCGAUGUGUGGAGGGGAACAACAGGAUCG